rnacentral:rRNA from 1 species
GAUGAACGCUGGCGGCGUGCCUAAUACAUGCAAGUCGAGCGAACGGACGAGAAGCUUGCUUUUCUGAUGUUAGCGGCGGACGGGUGAGUAACACGUGGAUAUCCUACCUAUAAGACUGGGAUAACUUCGGGAAACCGGAGCUAAUACCGGAUAAUAUUUUGAACCGCAUGGUUCAAAAGUGAAAGACGGUCUUGCUGUCACUUAUAGAUGGAUCCGCGCUGCAUUAGCUAGUUGGUAAGGUAACGGCUUACCAAGGCGACGAUGCAUAGCCGACCUGAGAGGGUGAUCGGCCACACUGGAACUGAGACACGGUCCAGACUCCUACGGGAGGCAGCAGUAGGGAAUCUUCCGCAAUGGGCGAAAGCCUGACGGAGCAACGCCGCGUGAGUGAUGAAGGUCUUCGGAUCGUAAAACUCUGUUAUUAGGGAAGAACAUAUGUGUAAGUAACUGUGCACAUCUUGACGGUACCUAAUCAGAAAGCCACGGCUAACUACGUG